rnacentral:rRNA from 1 species
GACGAACGCUGGCGGCGUGCUUAACACAUGCAAGUCGAACGGAAAGGCCCUGCUUGCAGGGUGCUCGAGUGGCGAACGGGUGAGUAACACGUGGGUGAUCUGCCCCUUACUUUGGGAUAAGCCUGGGAAACUGGGUCUAAUACUGGAUAGGACCAUGCUGUAGGUGGUGUGGUGGAAAGAUUAGUUUCGGUAAGGGAUGAGCUCGCGGCCUAUCAGCUUGUUGGUGGGGUAAUGGCCUACCAAGGCGUCGACGGGUAGCCGGCCUGAGAGGGUGGACGGCCACAUGGGGACUGAGAUACGGACCAGACUCCUACGGGAGGCAGCAGUGGGGAAUAUUGCACAAUGGGCGCAAGCCUGAUGCAGCGACGCCGCGUGGGGGAUGACGGCCUUCGGGUUGUAAACUCCUUUCAGCCAUGACGAAGCCCUUGUGGUGACGGUAGUGGUAGAAGAAGCACCGGCUAACUACGUG